CGUGAACCAGGCCGUUGAUCAGGAAGGUGUGCUGAGGAAACGUCUCAUGGAGGACCUGAAACCCCAACAACAGAAGACGAAGAAGAUGACGCAGACUGUGAUACAGCAGCACCCAGACCUGCAGAGUCCGGCUGCUGAAGGACAAACGGAGGAGGACAGAACAGGACAGACUGUCCUCUGACUGAGGCUCCACGCUGUUCACUGACAGCAGCAGGAGACACACUGAGCCACACAGUCUCCUGUGGACGUGUGAAGCAACAGUCUCCUGCUGUAUUCAGACUCACAUCACAACCAUGAUGAGCAGUGGUGCAUGUUUAUGACAGAAUCCUUCUGCAGGUACAAUGAAGCUUUAAUAGUUAUUUAUUCACUGCGAUUAACUGUUCAGAGUGACACGUGGAAAACAUG